GCUGGGUGCGGUGGCUCACGCCUGUAAUCCCAACACUUUGGGAGGCCGAGGCAGGGGGAUCACCUGAGGUCAGGAGUUCGAGACCAGCCUGGCCAACAUGGUGAAACCCUGUCUCUA
ensembl:misc_RNA Metazoa_SRP Metazoan signal recognition particle RNA